UUCGAAGGCGCCUGGAAGUUCUUACAAUUUCAUAAGUUAUCAGCAAUUUUCGUACAUGGAUGUACGGAAAAGGUGAUACUGAGCCUGGAUGGCGAAUUAUCACCGGUUGCGUUCCAACUUCUUGAAUAGAAAUGAACUUGUUAGAACUUCCAAGUGCCGCAG
rnacentral:ncRNA from 1 species